AUACGGAGGGUGCGAGCGUUAAUCGGAAUUACUGGGCGUAAAGCGCGCGUAGGCGGCUUUGUAAGUCGGAUGUGAAAGCCCUGGGCUUAACUUGGGAAUUGCACUCGAUACUGCAGAGCUAGAGUAUGGUAGAGGGAAGUGGAAUUUCCGGUGUAGCGGUGAAAUGCGUAGAUAUCGGAAGGAACACCAGUGGCGAAGGCGACUUCCUGGGCCAAUACUGACGCUGAGGUGCGAAAGCGUGGGGAGCAAACAGGAUUAGAAACCCCAGUAGUCC
rnacentral:rRNA from 1 species